UCGAGAGCUGAUAGGGAUUGUUAAACUCCCAGCGCGGUUCUACUUGCAUCAGUCACGCGUUACGUCGCACAUCGAGCGGUCGCCUUCAAGCAUGAAGGAAAGAUGAACAUGAUAUUCUCUGUACUCGAGGUGUAUUCGAGUUUUCACGAGUAAUAUCUACAUUUUCGCAAUUAUUAUAAAGAAAUGAAGGCUUUCGUAUUUUUCUACGAUACGUGGGUUUUAUCACUAUUUAACGUGUAAAUCUAUAUCAAAUCACUAUCAAAUGAUAGUGAUUUUUGGUAUCAAUUGUGGAUCACUGCAAACAGAAGUCUAGUUUAUAUGAGAUUGCCUCGAGUUUUAAGACGCAAAGUUGAAAGAAGGAGAGCAAGGAAAGAUGCAAAGAUGGGCCACGGAACACGCGUGGACAUAUGGGGCAAUGAUUUAUGGAGUAUCUCUAUUAUGGGCAAGAAAAACAAGGCAGUCCCUGAACAGGACAAAUCCGACAAACAUAUGGAUAAGAUGUGCGGACCAGCCAGUUCUCUCAAUUUUUUAAACUUUGGACGAAUCGCGCGAUAAGAUAUAGAAAUAAUAUAAAUGAUAAAAAUCCAC